UACGAGGGGGGCGAGCGUUGUUCGGAAUUACUGGGCGUAAAGGGCGCGCAGGCGGCCUGCCAAGUCAGAUGUGAAAGCCCCGGGCUCAACCUGGGAAUGGCAUUUGGGACUGGCGGGCUAGAGUUCGGGAGAGGGGAGUGGAAUUCCCAGUGUAGAGGUGAAAUUCGUAGAUAUUGGGAAGAACACCGGUGGCGAAGGCGACUCUCUGGACCGAUACUGACGCUGAGGCGCGAAAGCGUGGGGAGCAAACAGG
rnacentral:rRNA from 1 species